GACCAAGGAGUCUAACAUGUGCGCGAGUCAUUGGGAUCCCGAAUCCUAAAGGCGCAAUGAAAGUGAAGGUCGGCCACCGCGCGUCGACCGAGGGAGGAUGGGCCGCGUCGCGACGCGACUCCGCACUCCCGGGGCGUCUCGUUCUCAUCGCGAGAAGAGGCGCACCCAGAGCGUACACGUUGGGACCCGAAAGAUGGUGAACUAUGCCUGGUCAGGACGAAGUCAGGGGAAACCCUGAUGGAGGUCCGUAGCGAUUCUGACGUGCAAAUCGAUCGUCGGAACUGGGUAUAGGGGCGAAAGACUAAUCGAACCAUCUAGUAGCUGGUUCCCUCCGAAGUUUCCCUCAGGAUAGCUGGCACUCGCUCGUUCGUUGCCACGAACGCGCGCGAGUCUCAUCUGGUAAAGCGAAUGAUUAGAGGCCUUGGGGCCGAAACGACCUCAACCUAUUCUCAAACUUUAAAUGGGUGAGAUCUCUGGCUUGCUUGAACGCUGAAGCCACGAGAGAGAUAUCCACGGAUCAGAGUGCCAAGUGGGCCAAUUUU
rnacentral:rRNA from 1 species